rnacentral:misc_RNA from 1 species
ACGAGUACAGGCGGUGGUCCUCCCCGCUGAUGAUAAAAUACCUCAAUCGCACGGACUUUGAGCUCGACACACUAUUGAUAGGAAGAAGCUGAGUUUGUCAUGACAUGGUCAGGUUCGCCGCGAACAAUUCUGACAGCCAGCCAUUCAUUAGAUAGCCCAACCUGGUACGAUUAUCGGAAUGAAAAAUACUGAAUAAUUAGUCACACACAGUGGAUGAUAACAUGGUUUCAACUGCGGCCGUCUGAAAAGGGUGUCUGCAAAGUGCUGAGUUAUUUCUAGGUGCAACGAUUGGAAACAUCAAGAACAUUGAACAUUCGUUGUACCUGUAUUCGGUGAGAGUUCCCGGAGAUGGAGUCUUUGGAGGAGAUGUGGAGAUCCCUGGUCGGGCUGACCCACAGCCAUCACAUUCUAAUGUCCUCCGUGCUCGGAGUCGGAUUUGGGUACAUCUUGCUGCGUCAGUGGCUAGUGGGCAGCCCAGUGCGGAGCCAAGCACGGAUGGAUGGCAAGACAGUGCUGAUCACUGGGGGAAACACAGGCAUCGGCAAAGCUACAGCCCAGGAGCUGAUGAAGAGAGGGGCCAGAGUGAUCAUUGCAUGUCGUGAUGUGGUGAAGGGAGCUGCAGCUCUGAAGGACAUCCAUGUGGCUAACAGUCAGAACCAGGGCGCCUGCAAGCUACUGGACCUCGCCUCCUUCCAGUCCAUCCGGUCGUUUGUGGACAACUUCCUGCAGGAGGAGAAGAAGCUGGAUGUGCUCAUUAACAAUGCAGCGGUGGCUAUAGGCCCGAGACUGGAGUCCAGGGACGGCUAUGAGAUGCAGUUUGCAGUGAACCAUCUCGGCCACUUCCUCCUCACCAACCUGCUGCUGGAUGUGAUGAAGAAGUCCGCACCCAGCAGGAUCAUCAACGUUUCAUCUAAAGGCUAUGCAAUGGGAAAAAUGAAUUUUGAUGACAUCAACAGUAAAAAGGAAUACAAAGCGUUUGAUGUGUAUGCCAAAUCCAAGUUAGCCAAUGUGCUGUUCACCAGGGAACUAAGCAGCAGACUUAGAGGCAGUGGUGUGACGGUCAACUGUCUGCAUCCAGGGGUGGUGUACACGGAGAUCGGCCGCAACGUCACCCAGCUCGACUUCAAUUGGCUCAUCAAGUUCCUGUUGGGCACAGUGGGUGAAGCUCUGUACUACCUCUUCGCCAACACACCCAAGCAGGGAGCUCGCACCACUGUGUACUGCGCUGUGGCCCCAGAGAUGGAGAACAUCUCAGGAAAGUUUCUCUCUGACAGUCGGAUCUGUGACCUGCUGCCUCAUGCGAUGGAUGCAGAUGAUGCUGAGAGACUGUGGUGCCUCAGUGAGGAGAUGGUUAAACUCAAGAAACAGGAAUAAACAUCAUAGAAACUGCAACAAUUGUCUACAUAGCCCUCAACUUCUGUCUGGUAUUCAGUCUAUUCUAGACAGUCCGAUUGUACCUGUGUCACUUCCAGGGUCUUCCUUCAUAUUGGAUGAUAUUGACCUGGAUGACCUUCAUGAAACAAAUGAUGUUUUCUGGAUAACCAAAGUCAGUUGGCAGUAGUAUUGGUCGGACAACUAUCUGUGUAAAGAUCCAAGUUUGAUGGGUGACUUAACGUAAUAGUAUCGGCCAUGAAGUAGGCCACUGUCUUCCUGGUGCAUUCAUAUAUAUUUGUCCAAAGGGACAAGAUCAAAUUUGCAGAUAUUUUUCUACAACUUUUGUGUUUUUGUAUAUUCGGAUAAGUAUUUGUCUACAGACAGAGCUUUUUGAAGAUUUUCUUAUAACCGUAAAGCUGGUUUAAUUUAGUGCUAAACACUCUGUGCUUUCAUUGAUGCAAGCCACUAAGCAAGUCAUCAGAUGUACAUAGGGCUUUAUCCCAAGCAUGUAUAGAAUUCAUCAGGCACUGGAGUUGGACCUUAUUUGAUAGACUGGUUCUUGGCUGUUCUUGAGCUGCAUGACCGUUAUGAUGUUUAGACCAGGACUCCAUUAUAUAUUCUGACAAAUCAAAAAAAUCAACAUGUAUGUUGGGAUUUCCUCGUUUUUAACCUUUGAGAAGUGAGUAAUAUUGGACAUUAACAUGCGUUUGUUUCCUAAAAUCAAACAGAACUUUCGUCAAAGACAUUAAUAAUUUUGUAAGGCUCAUCUUGCACCUUUUAUUAUAGGAAUUCAAAGAGUCAUAGUGAUAUAAGAUUUAAGUAAGUAUUUGUUGAAUUUUUUCAGCACCUGACAGAUAUUGGAAGACAAUAAUGGUGGCCAUUCCCAUACUGUCUUCCCUCCACUUGAUAAGAUGUAGUGGUGUACUGGACCUCUGUCCUCCACAGCCAUACUGUUUUUCCUCCACUUGAUAAGGUGUAGUGGUGUACUAGACCUCUGUCCUCCACAGCCAUACUGUCUUCCCUCCACUUGAUAAGGUGUAGUGGGUGUACUAGACCUCUGUCCUCCACAGCCAUACUGUCUUUCCUCCACUUGAUAAGGUGUAAUGGGUGUACUAGACCUCUGUCCUCCACAGCCAUACUGUCUUUCCUCCACUUGAUAAGGUGUAGUGGGUGUACUAGACCUCUGUCCUCCACAGCCAUACUGUCUUUCCUCCACUUGAUAAGGUGUAGUGGGUGUACUGGACCUCUGUCCUCCACAGCCAUACUGUCUUUCCUCCACUUGAUUAGGUGUAGUGGGUGUACUGGACCUCUGUCCUCCACAGCCAUACUGUCUUUCCUCCACUUGAUAAGAUGUAGUGGGUGUACAAGACCUCUGUCCUCCACAAUCUCAACAAUGAAUAUCCUCACCUGUCUGCCAUGUUUACCUCUGCCUAUUCAGUGUUCACUUAUGAUUUUGUACCUGUUCAUGUUUUGCAUGUGUUUUUAGUGUUUGAUGGUGAAUGCAAACAUGUGUUCAUUGGGUGCCAGUUACUUUUCUUUUCAGCUACAUUUUUAUACUGUGAUAAUUUUAACUAUAUGUUUUUAUCCUUCUAUCACUGCUAGAAAUCUACUAGUGUUUACUGAAAUUACAAUGAAAUGCCAUUAUUGGUCACUUAUAAGUUUAAACUUUCGAAAACUAUGACCUAAAACACUUCUUUUCUCCAUCUUCAAGGGGAUGGGCACCCCAGCUUGUCUAUAUCCCAGAGUCUAGAGAAUAAAUUCAAAAAGCAGACCAACUCAAGUCUAGAAUGAUUGGGCAAGCCUAGAUUGCCUCAGCUCUGAAAUUAAGCGAUGUUCUGAGGUCAAUUUGAAUUUUAUUAUUUUGUAGAUAUAUAUUUUUAAAUAAGAUCACGUUAUUUCUGGGACUUAAUGUUAGUCUACACCCUAACAAUUGCAUGAUCCACUUACUACAUGGGCCAAGUCUAUUAUUGAAAAUUGUAUCUUUACAAUCAUCCUGAAGGCAGCCAUUUUAACAAACUGUAAUAUUCUAGAGUAAUCUCCCUUUGAAUAUGCCUUUUAAGGCUGAACCUCAAUACAGCUGAGGCGUUUUCAGGAGGGCGGGCGCUCGCGAUAUUAUGCGAGCGUGCACUGUUGAACACGGCUAACCACACGAGCGCACGUGUGUAGUCCCGAUCGAGCCCGAGAGGUAGUUCGCCUCGUAAUCCAAGAUGGCAUUGCACAUUGAACAAAUGUUUGCCUUUGACGAGAAUGGAACCAAUGUCAAAACAAUAAUUUUUUAGACUAGAUCUACCAUCAAAAAGUUAUUUUUCCAUUUUCAAUAUAUUGACCCGUGAUGAUCAGGGAAGACAAUAGGUCUUCCGCUACCCAUAUGUUUGCCAUAAGGAUCGAGUGAUAAGACUCGCUGACUUGGGUGAUGCAUGUAUCACCAUUGCACAGACCGAUGCUCAUGUCGAUUGCUGGAUUGUCUGGUCCUGCACAGGGACAUGUAACUUAUAAUAAAACUAAACACUUUGUUAUCAUGAACAUCAAAGUAUGAACCCAUCAAACUUGUGAUGAAAUUAAAUGUGUGAACCUAUGACACUUGUGGACAGGGCUGUUUUGAUCCCCGGCGACGCCAUUUUGGAUGCUGUGCCGCGAGAGCGAGUAUGCACCUCCCGUUCAGAAAGGCGUGAUAUUGCCUCACUGUAUUCUCGUGUGGUCGCUCGCCCUCCUGAACACGCCUCUGGUGAAGAUGUUUUGCUAUACAUGUUAUAGGCACUUGUUUGUCUACAGGGGGGAACCACAGGGGGAAGAAAUCCUGUGUCUUUGAUGGGGUCAGUCAGUAUUAGCAGUUUAGUCUAUGCUACUUUUCAGUACAUUUUAAUAUUAUUAUAGGGACGAUUAUUAGCUGAGUUUAUCAGACCCAACAGACUUUUACUCAACUCGCGCUUCGGAUUAGUGACCACAGUGACAAGCUGCUGGUUCCUAGGGAAGCAUCCAUGUGACUGAAAUAUAUAUUGUUUAUUUCUUCAUUAUAACAUGUUUCAAUAAGAUGAAAUUAAAUAUCUGACUCUCUAAAUUGUGCUCAUGGGCUGGGUAAACUUGUGUGAAUACAGGCAGGAUUUAUUGUAGGAUAUACUAGCAGGCCAAGUCCAGGGCCCUGUUCCACAAAGCGAUCGUAGUGCCAAGACGAUCGUAACUCCCAUACUAUAACAUAGACUUACGGCAGUCUUAGCCCUAAGAUCACUUUGUGGAACAGGGCCCUGAUUUGGGAAACAUUUAUUACAUAAUGUUGUUAAAGUAAGUGGAUAACAAUGAUAGAUACUUUGGAAGACAAUCAGAUUUGAAUGCAUGUAUAUGUAUAAAAUGAUUGACAGUUCUCUAAGAAAACUCUUUAAAAUCUAAACGCUUGCUGUGUUCGGGAAUAUGUUCAAUUGAGCUUGACUUUUUUACAAGCACCUCUAUCAAUUUGUUUUAAUAACCAAUGUCAUUUAUCACCUGAACACUUUCAGGGAAUCAAUUAUCUAUAUUUGUAUAUAUGGUAAAUAUUCCAUGAUUGUAAUAUUGAUAAUAUGGUUUGCCAAGUACAACGCAAUCUUUUAUUUAUUUUAUACCUACCUCUAAAUGUGUAUCAACUUUGAUGUGUUUGUCUACAAUAAUACCCUUGUUACAACCAUACAUUAGAAUCCGUGAGUUUGAUGUAUGAUUUAGUAUUUUUGUGACAGAAAAUGGUAAUGCUAACACAAGUAUGUAUAACACAUUCCUCUAUCACAAUUACAAAACAUGGGGAGUGCAAAUCCUUGCAUGUGCCUUAAACUUACAUUUUUUUCAAACUAAAGACUAGAAAAGCCAUGUCUCUUUUCACAUCCUUGACAAUAAUGAGUCUUGGAUAUUGUCAUAUAAUGUGGAAUCAUAUUUGAUAGUUGUGAUAGUGUAUAUCAUGCAUGUAGGUUGUGGGGGGUUUAAAGAUAUACAGUGUUUCAGGCUGGUGUAUAUCAUGCAUGUAGGUUGUGUGAGGUUAAAGAUAUACAGUGUUUCAGGCUGGUGUAUAUCAUGCAUUUAGGCCAUGUGGGGCUAAAGAUAUACAGUGUUUCAGGCUGGUGUAUAUCAUGCAUGUAGGUUGUGUGGGGUUCAAGAUAUACAGUGUUUCAGGCUGGUGUAUAUCAUGCAUGUAGGUCAUGUGGGGUUAAAGAUAUACAGUGUUUCAGGCUGGUGUAUAUCAUGCAUAUAGGUUGUGUGAGGUUAAAGAUAUACAGUGUUUCAGGCUGGUGUAUAUCAUGCAUGUAGGCCAUGUGGGGUUAAAGAUAUACAGUGUUUCAGGCUGGUGUAUAUCAUGCAUGUAGGUUGUGUGGGGUUAAAGAUAUACAGUGUUUCAGGCUGGUGUAUAUCAUGCAUUUAGGCCAUGUGGGGUUAAAGAUAUACAGUGUUUCAGGCUGGUGUAUAUCAUGCAUGUAGGUUGUGUGGGGUUAAAGAUAUACAGUGUUUCAGGCUGAUGUAUAUCAUGCAUGUAGGUCAUGUGGGGUUAAAGAUAUACAGUGUUUCAGGCUGGUGUAUAUCAUGCAUGUAGGUUGUGUGGGGUUAAAGUUAUACAGUGUUUCAGGCUGGUGUAUAUCAUGCAUGUAGGUUGUGUGAGGUUAACGAUAUACAGUGUUUCAGGCUGGUGUAUAUCAUGCAUGUAGGUUGUGUGGGGUUAAAGAUAUACAGUGUUUCAGGCUGGUGUAUAUCAUGCAUGUAGGUUGUGUGGGGUUAAAGAUAUACAUUGGUUCAGGCUGGUGUAUAUCAUGCAUGUAGGUUGUGUGGGGUUAAAGAUAUACAGUGUUUCAGGCUGGUGUAUAUCAUGCAAGUAGGUUGUGUUGGGUUAAAGAUAUACAGUGUUUCAGGCUGGUGUAUAUCAUGCAUGUAGGUUGUGUGGGGUUAAAGAUAUACAGUGUCUCAGGGUGGUGUAUAUCAUGCAUGUAGGUUGUGUGGGGUUAAAGAUAUACAGUGUUUCAGGCUGGUGUAUACCAUGCAUGUAGGUUGUGUUGGGUUAAAGAUAUACAAUGUGUCAGUUUGGUGUAUAUCAUCCCCAAAACACACUUGCGUUUCAGGUUACCUGGCCAACUAUUUAUUUCGCUUGCCACCCAAAUGUUUUUAUCAUUGUUUCUGCAUAUUAUGGUUGCUUUAUUUAUUUUGACCUACAACAUAUAUAUGUUUGAGAAACAUAUAACCUCAGUUUUAAACAAACGGUGUGUGCUAAAAGUCAUGAAAAAAAUAAUAUAGAAAAUUGAACCCUACCAACGGAACCCAUACAACCACAAACCUGUACAACCUAGGCUUUUAGCCUGGUGUUGAGAAGAGGUAACAAUAUAUAUGUUUCUAUGGAGUUAAUCAGCGCUACAUGGUUAUUAUUUACUGUAUACAGGUCUAUGUCUUCCAGCACUGAUGGCUGCGAUAUUUCAUGGUUUAUAGUUGCAGGAAUAUCUCUACAGACAAACUUUCUGGACAUUAGCCACAAAACAAAGUCAGAUCAACUUUUUAAAUGAUCUGAGUGCUACGCCCAAAAUGAUUUUCGUGUUGCAGCUGUCUUGUUUAUUAUUUACAUGAAUCUCACAACAUUAUUUGUCAUGAACAUUGUUCCAAUAUUAUCAAUAUUUCAAAAGUAAAAUACCUUUUUCAGGAUGAACAAAGGAUGCACAAAUAAUUAAUUAUUUGUUUCUAGUUUUGAAAAAAAGGUGGGGUAAGCACUCUCAUUAAACAAGGAUAUGUCAUGCUGAAUUAUUGUUUGUUUUUAAGGAAUAAGUGUCAGUGAAAAAUAGCAAUAAAUUCUUAAACUGCUGAAGACAUAGCUUGCUGAAGGUGUUAUGAUAGCUAUGGUAUUUAUAUACAUGAUACAGUGAUGUUCUGAGUUCCAUGAUACUGAUCAAGUACUCAGGAUCAGCAUGUGUUUCCAAGUAGAGCAAUAAUAUUCUUGCAUAUAUAUAUUAGAUGCACAAAUUAUGAGCAUGUGUAUGCACACAAUACAUCAAUUAUACAACGAUAACAUUGUAUACUGUUACUAGGCCAAUACAACAUUGUAUACAUUGAUAACAUUGUAUACAGUUAGUAGGCAAAUACAGCAUUGUAUACAUUGAUAACAUUGUGUACAGUUAGUAGGCCAAUACAACAUUGUAAACAUUGAUAACAUUGUGUACAGUUAGAAGGCCAAUACAACAUUGUAUACUUUGAUAACAUUGUGUACAGUUAGUAGGCGUAUACAACAUUGUAUACAUUGAUAACAUUGUGUACAGUUAGUGAGUCAAUACAGCAUUGUAUACAUUGAUAACAUUGCAUACAGUUAGGGCAGUACAACAUUAUAUACAUUGAUGACAUUGUAUACAGUUAGUAGGCAAAUACAACAUUGUAUACAUUGAUAACAUUGUGUACAGUUAGUAGGCCAAUACAACAUUGUAUACAUUGAUAACAUUGUGUACAGUUAGAAGGCCAAUACAACAUUGUAUACUUUGAUAACAUUGUGUACAGUUAGUAGGCCAAUACAACAUUGUAUACAUUGAUAACAUUGUGUACAGUUAGUGAGUCAAUACAGCAUUGUAUACAUUGAUAACAUUGCAUACAGUUAGGGCAGUACAACAUUAUAUACAUUGAUAACAUUGUAUACAGUUAGAAGGCUAAUACAACAUUGUAUACAUUGAUAACAUUGCAUACAGUUAGGGCAGUACAGCAUUGUAUACAUUGAUAACAUUGCAUACAGUUAGUAGGCCAAUACAACAUUGUAUACAUUGAUAACAUUGCAUACAGUUAGGGCAGUACAACAUUAUAUACAUUGAUAACAUUGUAUACAGUUAGUAGGCUAAUACAGCAUUGUAUACAUUGAUAACAUUGCAUAGUUAGGGCAGUACAACAUUGUAUACAUUGAUAACAUUGUAUACAGUUAGUAGGCUAAUACAACAUUGUAUACAUUGAUAACAUUGCAUACAGUUAGGGCAGUACAACAUUAUAUACAUUGAUAACAUUGUAUACAGUUAGUAGGCUAAUACAACAUUGUAUACAUUGAUAACAUUGCAUACAGUUAGGUCAGUACAACAUUGUAUACAUUGAUAACAUUGCAUACAGUUAGGGCAGUACAGCAUUGUAUACAUUGAUAACAUUGCAAACAAUUAGUAGGCCAAUACAAUAUUGUAUACAUUGAUAACAUUGCAUAGUUAGGGCAGUACAACAUUGUAUACAUUGAUAACAUUGCAUACAGUUAGGUCAGUACAACAUUGUACAUAGUGAUAUUGCAUACAGUUAGUAGGCCAAUACAACAUUGUAUACAUUGAUAACAUUGCAUACAGUUAGGGCAGUACAGCAUUGUAUACAUUGAUAACAUUGCAAACAAUUAGUAGGCCAAUACAACAUUGUAUACAUUGAUAACAUUGCAUACAGCUAGGGCAGUACAGCAUUGUAUACAUUGAUAACAUUGCAAACAGUUAGGGCAGUACAACAUUAUAUACUAGUACAUUGAUAACAUUGUAUACAGUUAUUAGGCCAAUACAACAUUGUAUACAUCAUGUACAUUGAUAACAGUGCAUACAGUUAGGGCAGUACAACAUUGUAUACAUUGGUGUCUAAGCAGCCUAUGAUACCCAGCUUCAUGGUGAAUGUGUUGAAUUAUAUAACAGACGGGACAGCUCAAAGUAGGAACACUAAGGUACUGCUGGCAAAAAAAAUUCAAAGCUGAGCAUUUUUUUUCUUGCAUGUGUGUUCCAGUAGUGUCUCAGGAUAUUUAUGUCACUAUUACAAAAUGAAUAUCACAAUGUGAUUGAAAAACUAUUUGUUGUAUGUUUAUCAAGAUAUACAAGAUUCUUGACAUAAUCCACUGACAGCUGUAUUUGGACAAGAUCUUUUCGUUACGCCUUUUUUAAAAUUAAAGUCUGCAUACAAACAUUAUUGAUAUAGAAUAAAUUACCAUUGACAAUCAGAUAGCCUGCAGUGCAGAAUUAAGAGCAUGAAAUGUUGGUUUCAUUCAGGUUGUGGUGACAAUCAUGCCCUUUUCAUGCAGGACGUGUGUUCUGUAUCAUCCUGGCCGUUUGUUUACUAUUUCAUAUUUCUCUUUAAAUUUAAUACAUUGCAUGAGUUUAUUUGGCUUCUAAUGAAUUUGGUAUUAAAUAUUUCUGCAGAAA